CUAUUGGCCCAAUUAUAAGACGGUGUUUUUUGCAUUGAAAUGAAACUGAAAAAGUGGGGAUCGUCUUAUAGUCGGGGUCUAGACGUUAUACCCAUUCACGACGCUAGAUAGCGCCAGAUAUCAUAGAAGCAAAUGCUGAACUUGACUCCCCAGGCCAAAGUGAACCCCUGUCACGAAGAAGAAAAAUAAAAAUAGCGGUAGCACGAAGAAGAAAAAUAAAAAAUAGCGGUAAGAAAGAAAAGAGAAGAAAAUAAUAGAAGACAUAACAGAAAAUAGAGAAACGUAGCGACAAUCUGGAGAAAAGUGGGUUGAAGAUCGGCCAGGCAGCUGAGGAGAAGUUAUGAUGUAAUUUAUAUUUCAAAAACCUGAAACCAUUCAUUUACAAAUGUGAUUGCACUUUAGUUUACAUAUUUAAAUGUUCAAAUAUUAAGAUUUGAAUGAGGCAAAAUAACAUGCUUUUCCUCUUGAAUAUAUUAUUAUUGUUAAUUAUUUUUGUAUAAAAAUUAAUUUGGUGUUCAAAAAGUAUUUGUUCAAACUUGAGUAUUGAAAAAGAGGGGGGUCUUCUUAUAAUCAGGGCCGUCUUAUAUUCAGGCCAAUACGGUAGUUACCUUGUGUAUAAAAUUCACAAUGGAAAUCUGCCUUACCUUUCCUUUUACUAUGUUUAAACACACAGCAUAUGCUGACCUACUAUAAUGAAUUCAUUCAUUAUAUUAUUGGUGUCAGCAUAUUUCCGAAAAACGGGAUGAAGUGGGUCACCCUCUUCCUUUCAUUUUUUUCCCAUCAGCGGAAAACGUUUGGACAUCCCCGAUCUAGAGCAUUCGAAUCAUGAAUCAUCCUAUUGGACAUGAGAAAAAUGAGAUAUUGUUCAAACCAGGCAUCAUUUUCUUUAUUUGUAAAUAGUAAUGGAGAACGCAACGCUGUCACGUGGCCGCUGAAUUGCAACAGUCAUAAAAGCAGAACGUGUCACAGCUUGUGGGAAAGAACAACUGUUUCCCAUGAGCUUUUUUUUUUUAAGGUGGUGGGUGCUGUGGCGGCCUCGAAAUUAAUAUCAGCACUUUCUCGCCCUCGCUCUUUCGACAUAGACAACACUGCAGACCCAGAAACACACAACGGAAACAUGAUAACAUGCCAGGUAUAAAUGCAGAGGAGGACAUAAACAGAUUCCCAAAAAAAGAAAAAUGUUCUUUGUUUGUUCCUUUCUACUUCAGCAUGAGGGAGUUUUGUAGCCGAGGGCACGGCUGGGUAUGACACAUCAGGACUCAGCUGGGAUAUGCUCCAGUCCAGCUCCUCGUGACCUUCUGAACAGGAUCAGAAUGGAUGAAAGGAUGGCUUAAGAAGUUGUAUUAUUGUUUGUUUUUGCCCCUGGGGCCCCACCCUUACAGUACAGUGUUGGGGUGUUCACGUAACUGAAGUCCUUGUGGUCAAGUCCAGUAAAUAAAUGCAGAAACAGA